UUCGCGGUAUGGGAUGGGGUCGGGUCCUAUCAGCUUGAGGGCGGGGUAACGGCCCCCCGUGGGUUGGACGGGUAGCCGGCCUGAGAGGGCGACCGGCCACAUGGGGACUGAGAUACGGCCCAGACUCCUACGGGAGGCAGCAGUGGGGAAUAUUGCACAAUGGGCGCAAGCCUGAUGCAGCGACGCCGCGUGAGGGAUGGAGGCUUUCGGGUUGUAAACCUCUUUUAUCGGGGAGCAAGCGAGAGUGAGUUUACCCGUUGAAUAAGCACCGGCUAACUACGUGCCAGCAGCCGCGGUAAUACGUAGGGUGCAAGCGUUAUCCGGAAUUAUUGGGCGUAAAGGGCUCGUAGGCGGUUCGUCGCGUCCGGUGUGAAAGUCCAUCGCUUAACGGUGGAUCCGCGCCGGGUACGGGCGGGCUGGAGUGCGGUAGGGGAGACUGGAAUUCCCGGUGUAACGGUGGAAUGUGUAGAUAUCGGGAAGAACACCAAUGGCGAAGGCAGGUCUCUGGGCCGUUACUGACGCUGAGGAGCGAAAGCGUGGGGAGCGAACAGGAUUAGAUACCCUGGUAGUCCACGCCGUAAACGGUGGAUGCUGGAUGUGGGGCCCGUUCCACGGGUUCCGUGUCGGAGCUAACGCGUUAAGCAUCCCGCCUGGGGAGUACGGCCGCAAGGCUAAAACUCAAAGAAAUUGACGGGGGCCCGCACAAGCGGCGGAGCAUGCGGAUUAAUUCGAUGCAACGCGAAGAACCUUACCUGGGCUUGACAUGUUCCCGACCGCUCCAGAGAUGGGGCUUCCCUUCGGGGCGGGUUCACAGGUGGUGCAUGGUCGUCGUCAGCUCGUGUCGUGAGAUGUUGGGUUAAGUCCCGCAACGAGCGCAACCCUCGCCCCGUGUUGCCAGCGGAUUAUGCCGGGAACUCACGGGGGACCGCCGGGGUUAACUCGGAGGAAGGUGGGGAUGACGUCAGAUCAUCAUGCCCCUUACGUCCAGGGCUUCACGCAUGCUACAAUGGCCGGUACAACGGGAUGCGACGC
rnacentral:rRNA from 1 species